AGUCUGGCCUGCCCAAUGAUUCUUGAAUGGCCGCAGUAUUUUGACUGUGCAAAGGUAGCAUAAUCAUUAGUUUUUUGAUUGAAAGCUGGAAUGAAAGGUUUGAUGAGAAAAUAACUGUCUCUGUGUAAAUGUAUUAGAAUUUCAAUUUUAAGUGAAAAAGCUUAAAUUUUUUAUAAAGACGAGAAGACCCUAUAGAGUUUUAUAGUUGAUUAGAUAUAAAAGUUAUUGAAUUUAUUUUUUUAUUUUUAUUUAAUUAUUUUGUUGGGGCGAUGGAAAAAUUUGAAAAACUUUUUUUUGUUUGUAACAUUGAUUUAUGAUUAUUUGAUCCUUUUUUUUGGAUUACAAGAUUAAAUUACCUUAGGGAUAACAGCGUAAUUUUUUUUGGAGAGUUCUUAUCGAUAAAAAAGUUUGCGACCUCGAUGUUGGAUUAAAAUUAAAUUUUGGUGUAGAAGCUAAAAUUUUAGGUCUGUUCGACCUUUGAAAUUUU
rnacentral:rRNA from 1 species